rfam:Marivita hallyeonensis strain DSM 29431 genome assembly, contig: Ga0131194_101
GCCAUGGGGCCGCGGACGCCUCGUGAGGCGACAGCCCAAGACCCGCAUCCUGACAACCUGUAUCACGGGAAGGAUGCCGCCAUG